rnacentral:rRNA from 1 species
GAUGAACGCUGGCGGCGUGCCUAAUACAUGCAAGUAGAGCGAACGGACGAGAAGCUUGCUUCUCUGAUGUUAGCGGCGGACGGGUGAGUAACACGUGGAUAACCUACCUAUAAGACUGGGAUAACUGCGGGAAACCGGAGCUCAUACCGGAUGAUAUUUUGAACCUCAUGGUUCAAAAGUGAAAGACGGUCUUGCUGUAACUUAUAGAUGUAUCCGCGCUGCAUUAGCUAGUUGGUAAGGUAACGGCUUACCAAGGCAACGAUGCAUAGCCGACCUGCGAGGGUGACCGGCCACACUGGAACUGAGGCACGGUCCAGACUCCUACGGGAGGCAGCAGUAGGGAAUCUUCCGCAAUGGGCGAAAGCUUGACGGAGCAACGCCGCGUGAGUGAUGAAGGUUUUCGGAUCGUAAAACUCUGUGAUUAGGGAAGAACAUAUGUGUAAGUAACUGUGCACAUCGUGACGGUACCUAAUCAGAAAGCCACGGCUAACUACGUG